rnacentral:rRNA from 1 species
UGAGGAAUAUUGGGUCAAUGGGCGGAAGCCUGAACCAGCCAAGUAGCGUGAGGGAUGACUGCCCUAUGGGUUGUAAACCUCUUUUAUAAGGGAAUAAAAUACGGGACGUGUCCUGUUUUGCAUGUACCUUAUGAAUAAGGACCGGCUAAUUCCGUGCCAGCAGCCGCGGUAAUACGGAAGGUCCGGGCGUUAUCCGGAUUUAUUGGGUUUAAAGGGUGCGUAGGCGGACGGUUAAGUCAGCGGUAAAAUCGAGAGGCUCAACCUCUUCCGGCCGUUGAAACUGGCCAUCUUGAGUGAGCGAGAAGUAUGCGGAAUGCGUGGUGUAGCGGUGAAAUGCAUAGAUAUCGCGCAGAACUCCGAUUGCGAAGGCAGCAUACCGGCGCUCAACUGACGCUGAAGCACGAAAGCGUGGGGAUCAAACAGGAUUAGAUACCCUGGUAGU